GAUGAACGCUGGCGGCGUGCUUAACACAUGCAAGUCGAGCGAAGCGCUUAAGUUUGAUUCUUCGGAUGAAGACUUUUGUGACUGAGCGGCGGACGGGUGAGUAACGCGUGGGUAACCUGCCUCAUACAGGGGGAUAACAGUUAGAAAUGACUGCUAAUACCGCAUAAGACCACAGGGUCGCAUGACCCGGUGGUAAAAACUCCGGUGGUAUGAGAUGGACCCGCGUCUGAUUAGCUAGUUGGUGGGGUAACGGCUCACCAAGGCGACGAUCAGUAGCCGACCUGAGAGGGUGACCGGCCACAUUGGGACUGAGACACGGCCCAAACUCCUACGGGAGGCAGCAGUGGGGAAUAUUGCACAAUGGGGGAAACCCUGAUGCAGCGACGCCGCGUGAAGGAUGAAGUAUUUCGGUAUGUAAACUUCUAUCAGCAGGGAAGAAAAUGACGGUACCUGA
rnacentral:rRNA from 1 species